rnacentral:lncRNA from 1 species
CAUAGAAUGACAUUUCAAUCCCUCUUGUUAACUUCACUUCUAACAUUAAUGCUGCUUUGAGCGCAAGGGCAAAUCUGACAACUUCAGAUUGUGCCAAAUAUUUAGCAUGAUAAUGUUUUAUAUAAUUAACUACAAUUUAGGCUCCAUCAUGGUUCCGAUAUGCUUGAUGGUGUGGAAAAUUGGAUGCCUGAUUUUUUUCAAAUUAGUCUUAAGUUGUCAUGUGGAACAGGCUUCAAUUUGAACCUCAAGCGGAAUGGUGAUCACGGGAUUAUUUGCACCACCAAUGGGUGGAAGUAUGUUUGUAGUAACUCUAACCAACAACAAACAAUAAUUGACGAAACAGUGAUAGCAACAAAAACCACAAAACAGGAGCCUAGUAAUAGUACAAGUAACUUUAGUUAGACAC